rnacentral:rRNA from 1 species
UACGUAGGGCGCAAGCGUUAUCCGGAAUUAUUGGGCGUAAAGCGUGCGCAGGCGGUCUGUUAAGACCGAUGUGAAAUCCCCGGGCUUAACCUGGGAACUGCAUUGGUGACUGGCAGGCUUUGAGUGUGGCAGAGGGAGGUAGAAUUCCACGUGUAGCAGUGAAAUGCGUAGAGAUGUGGAGGAAUACCGAUGGCGAAGGCAGCCUCCUGGGCCAACACUGACGCUCAUGCACGAAAGCGUGGGGAGCAAACAGG